rnacentral:rRNA from 1 species
AGGGCACCACCAGGAGUGGAGCCUGCGGCUUAAUUUGACUCAACACGGGAAAUCUCACCAGGCCCGGACACCGGAAGGAUUGACAGAUUGAGAGCUCUUUCUUGAUUCGGUGGGUGGUGGUGCAUGGCCGUUCUUAGUUGGUGGAGCGAUUUGUCUGGUUAAUUCCGAUAACGAACGAGACUCUGGCCUACUAACUAGAUGGAGGAUCCCUUUGUGGGUUCUUCACUGCUUCUUAGAGGGACGGGCGGCGUUUAGCCGCACGAGAUUGAGCAAUAACAGGUCUGUGAUGCCCUUAGAUGUUCUGGGCUGCACGCGCGCUACACUGAAGGAAUCAGCGUGUCCUCCCCGCUCUGAAAAGAGUGGGUAACCCGUUGAAACUCCUUCGUGAUGGGGAUUGGAGAUUGUAAUUAUUCUCCAUGAACGAGGAAUUCCCAGUAGGCGCGAGUCAUCAGCUUGCGUCGAUUACGUCCCUGCCCUUUGUACACACCGCCCGUCGCUACUACCGAUCGAGUGAUUUAG